GAUGAACGCUAGCUACAGGCUUAACACAUGCAAGUCGAGGGGAAACGACAUCGAAAGCUUGCUUUUGAUGGGCGUCGACCGGCGCACGGGUGAGUAACGCGUAUCCAACCUGCCCAUCACUUGGGGAUAACCUUGCGAAAGUAAGACUAAUACCCAAUGAUAUCUCUAGAAGACAUCUGAAAGAGAUUAAAGAUUUAUCGGUGAUGGAUGGGGAUGCGUCUGAUUAGCUUGUUGGCGGGGUAACGGCCCACCAAGGCAACGAUCAGUAGGGGUUCUGAGAGGAAGGUCCCCCACAUUGGAACUGAGACCCGGGCCAAACUCCUACGGGAGGCAGCAGUGAGGAAUAUUGGUCAAUGGGCGAGAGCCUGAACCAGCCAAGUAGCGUGCAGGAAGACGGCCCUAUGGGUUGUAAACUGCUUUUAUAAGGGAAUAAAGUGAGAGUCGUGACUCUUUUUGUAUGUACCUUAUGAAUAAGGACCGGCUAAUUCCGUG
rnacentral:rRNA from 1 species